CUGCUUCUGUAAACAUCAACACAAGUGAGUUAUGGAGACACACACACACACGUAUACUAACACAUACCUCUCCCUCACCCAGAUCCCACCCCUUCCCGACCUUGCUCAGCAGCCAGGUGUCAGAUACCCCCAGCGUAACCUAACACAAACGCAUACACAUACACACACAGGUUGAGUAAUAGAGCUCAUUAUUUAUUAGGUAGACCUCCUGAGCUCAACCCUGAAUCAUUCAUUUGGUGAAGCUGCUCUCCUGCAUGGAGUUAUGGUGUACACACUGCCCUGCCUCUCUCUGACCUAACCGGCUAACUGCUGACCACUGAAUGACUGCUAACGGUGGACUGGGUUACUACCAGACCUGGACUACAACUACUACUGCUUUAGCUAACCUGUUGCUAUCAUAAGACUGGACUACUACUAUUGUAACUUUCCUGCUCUAAUUGUUUCUACAUUAUGGUGGCAUGUACUGCCCUGAAUAUCGUUGAAUCUAACCUGCUAACCGUGGCUAACUGUCGCUAACUGUGGACUGGGUUACUACGUUAGGCCUGGACAACGGCUCUAAGAUCUAAACUGCUGUAACACUGUGACCUGCUGUAGCUAAAUUGCAACAUUGGAUUGAACAAUGGUGCUAAGCCCUCUAACAUUGAGCUGACAUUGCCUCUUUCUCUCUAACCUGCUGCCUCUCACCAGCAAACAGCUAACUGGGCUAACAGCUAAUUGGGCUUACUGGGCUAACAACUAACUGGUAACUAGGCUAACUGGUAACUGGGCUAACAGCUAACUGGGAUAACUGGGCUAGCUCCAGCAUGGCCAUCACUCUUCUCCUGAUCAUCACCUUCUACCUGGGAUAUACACACUCACAGGUUAGACUGCUCCACACACACACACACAUCUACAACCAUAUACUGUAGUUGUGUUGUGGUUGUGGUCAUGUUCUGAUCAUGUAGUCUCUCCUCAGGCUGACGUAUCCAGUCUGAGUCCUCGAACAGUGUUUACGGUCAUGGUGACCGCCGCCUCCUCCUCCAACCUCAGCCCACCGGUCAGCCGUAUAAUCAACACCAACAAGACUGCCCCAACAUCCCCUCCCACCAAUCUUGAGGGGGAGAGGGUGGGCUCCAAUGGGAUCCUUCUGUCUUGGACCAUGCCCUCUGACUCCCGCGUCGACGGUUAUGUCAUCAGGUAAGGAGCCAUAUGAUGUAGACCCAGAUUAAGCCUUCUCCUGGAACACUAUUAGGGGAAUAACACUAUAAGGGGGGGGAAUAGGGUGUUGAUAUUCCACCACUAUUUACUUCUAAAUAAAGUUGUUUGUAUAUCAUCUGGUGUUUUAAAUAAAGUUGUUUCUAUUUAAUUUAAUAGGUACAAAGAGGUGUGUCCAUAUCCAGACCCCACCUUCAAAGAGGUGACCAAACACCUGGACAUUCCUGAGACCCUUCUCAAUCUCUUCUUACCAGGGUCUACCUAUAACAUCAAGGUAACACUCAUACAGUAAACAUACUGUCAGUAACGUCUCUCUGCUCUCUUUCACACACACAUCUAGAAGGUAAUCAUGCACUGGGGAGGCUAUACAGACAUGCCUGGUGCCCAAAAUGUAUGACAUAUGUCGCGCAGCGAGAGUUGAGUGGGGACGAAUGGAUUCUAUUCUGUCAGUCAACCUAAUGAGCCAGGUAGUUUAAACUGGUGGCUAGACGCUUCAGCGAUAAUUUGAAACGUGUCUGCCGAAGUUGGGACUUGGAGUGUUCAGAAUCAUUCAGUUUUUAUCAGACUACAAAAGCAAUAAAUGUGCUUUAGCUGUCACCCUGGCCUGAUAUUAGCUACACUAUCUAGCUACUUCCCUCUGAGUUACUGCACGAGAGCAGUGCUUGGAAAUCAGGACUCAGGACCGAGACACCUCGUGUUGUUGAGUUGGCGGCUUGCAGCGCAAACUCUCCCAAAUUGAGCAGUAUACUACUGUAUUACGGGGACAUCCAGAUAUAUACCAAUAUUACAAGUUAUUUCACGUCUAGGCUGCUUUCCUACUCAAAAUAUUAUUAAGUGGGAUGGAACAAAUUGGCCACGUUAGCAAGCGCCAGUGACAUGUGAUAGCUGCCCGGUUAAGCAAGUGCACUGGUCAUUCACACCGGCUUGUCGUUCCAGAUGGUGACCAAUCCUACACGUUUUAACUAGCGCCAUCCUUCUAGCCAGCAUAAACUAGCUAGCUGGGAAAGGCUCAAGGACAGCUGACUGAACCGAAUCCAUUCCUCUCCACUCUCCUUCUUCUUCUUCUGUGGAUUUUAUGGCUGACUAUAACCCCAAAAGGUGUAUUGCCGCCUCCAACUGGACUGGUUGAAAAAACAAGGUAAAAAGACAAUUCAUACGUGAUAGGGAAAACAAACUGUAAUGAGAUGGACACUUUGUACAUCAUGCAGGUUUCUCCGAACAAAUAGCCUAACCUAAAUGGCUCCCAAUCAAUUCAAAAAUGUGCUUUCAUGUUAACAAACAACAUAUUCUAAAAACAAGACAGGUCAAAGUAAAAUGGAAAAUAUGGAAUGUACCAUCACAACUGUCCAGGUGUUUCACCCCAUUGUCGUGAUCAUUGCAUUCAUUCAUAAAAUUCAAUUUCAGGCAACACUGUAGGCUACUCCUCAAUAAGCAUGGACCUGAUGCCGGUGCCUUUUGGACAUAUUUUUUGGUGCAGUCCGGACCGGCCUUGAUUUCCACAUCCACGGACAUUGGUUUUUAAAAUCUGAACCUGGUCUCGCCAAGGGCAACAGAAUGGCAAGGACCGGCCCUGAUCACUCCUCCCAGUCGGAUGGUUCCCCACCAAUUUCAAUGUACUAUUGAGCCUUGUGUGUCCCAGUCUCAGCCUUGUGACUACACUUUCCUCCCAUCUCUCUCUGCCUGAGAACCUCCCUGCCCCCACCUUUUCCUGGAUCUUAUACAGCUGUCAUCCCUUUCCCUCCCUUUUCCACAACUAUUGCCAUUUGUUUUUAACCACUGUUUUUAUCAACCCCUUGGCUUCUGCUUUACUGAUUUG
rnacentral:lncRNA from 1 species